rnacentral:rRNA from 1 species
GACGAACGCUGGCGGCGUGCUUAACACAUGCAAGUCGAACGGGCCUGUCUUCUUUUUUGGGGGGUGGGUUGAGUGGCGAACGGGUGAGUAUCACGUGAGUAACCUGCCCUUCGGUCCUGGAUAACCGCUUGAAAGGGCGGCUAAUACGGGGUGGUCCGGUUGGUCCGCAUGGGCUGGUCGGGAUAGAUUCACUGUUUUUGGUGUUUCGGCGGGGGAUGGGCUCGCGGCCUAUCAGCUUGUUGGUGGGGUGCUGGCCUACCAAGGCGGUGACGGGUAGCCGGCCUGAGAGUGUGGGCGGCCACACUGGGACUGGGAUACGGCCCAGACUCCUGCGGGAGGCAGCAGUGGGGGGUAUUGCACAAUGGGCGGAAGCCUGAUGCAGCGACGUCGCGUGAGGGAUGGAGGCCUUCGGGUUGUGAACCUCUGUUUCCGGUGGUGAAGGCCCUGUCCGUGUGGUGGGGUUGACGGUAGCCGGGGAUGAAGCGCCGGCUAACUACGUG